GGUUAAGCGACUAAGCGUACACGGUGGAUGCCCUGGCAGUCAGAGGCGAUGAAGGACGUGCUAAUCUGCGAAAAGCGUCGGUAAGGUGAUAUGAACCGUUAUAGCCGGCGAUGUCCGAAUGGGGAAACCCAGUGUGAUUCGUC
rnacentral:rRNA from 2 species